ensembl:rRNA 5S_rRNA 5S ribosomal RNA
AUCUAAGGCCAUACGACCCUGAACAUGCCCGAUCUCAUCUGAGCUGGGAAGCUUAGCAGGGUCGGGCCUGGUUAGUACUUAGAACUUGGAUGGGAGAAUGUUUGGAAGUGGGAGUCU